UACGUAGGGUGCGAGCGUUAAUCGGAAUUACUGGGCGUAAAGCGUGCGCAGGCGGUCUGUUAAGACCGAUGUGAAAAUCCCCGGGCUUAACCUGGGAACUGCAUUGGUGACUGGCAGGCUUUGAGUGUGGCAGAGGGAGGUAGAAUUCCACGUGUAGCAGUGAAAUGCGUAGAGAUGUGGAGGAAUACCGAUGGCGAAGGCAGCCUCCUGGGCCAACACUGACGCUCAUGCACGAAAGCGUGGGGAGCAAACAGG
rnacentral:rRNA from 1 species